rnacentral:rRNA from 1 species
GACGAACGCUGGCGGCGUGCUUAACACAUGCAAGUCGAACGAAGAGCGAUGGAAGCUUGCUUCUAUCAAUCUUAGUGGCGAACGGGUGAGUAACGCGUAAUCAACCUGCCCUUCAGUGGGGGACAACAGUUGGAAACGACUGCUAAUACCGCAUACGAUCUAAUCUCGGCAUCGAGGAUGGAUGAAAGGUGGCCUCUACAUGUAAGCUAUCACUGAAGGAGGGGAUUGCGUCUGAUUAGCUAGUUGGAGGGGUAACGGCCCACCAAGGCGAUGAUCAGUAGCCGGUCUGAGAGGAUGAACGGCCACAUUGGGACUGAGACACGGCCCAGACUCCUACGGGAGGCAGCAGUGGGGAAUCUUCCGCAAUGGACGAAAGUCUGACGGAGCAACGCCGCGUGAGUGAUGACGGCCUUCGGGUUGUAAAGCUCUGUUAAUCGGGACGAAAGGCCUUCUUGCGAAUAGUGAGAAGGAUUGACGGUACCGGAAUAGAAAGCCACGGCUAACUACGUG